rnacentral:rRNA from 1 species
CACAUGCAAGUCGAACGGGUAACAGGAAGAAGCUUGCUUCUUUGCUGACGAGUGGCGGACGGGUGAGUAAUGUCUGGGAAACUGCCUGAUGGAGGGGGAUAACUACUGGAAACGGUAGCUAAUACCGCAUAACGUCGCAAGACCAAAGAGGGGGACCUUCGGGCCUCUUGCCAUCGGAUGUGCCCAGAUGGGAUUAGCUAGUAGGUGGGGUAACGGCUCACCUAGGCGACGAUCCCUAGCUGGUCUGAGAGGAUGACCAGCCACACUGGAACUGAGACACGGUCCAGACUCCUACGGGAGGCAGCAGUGGGGAAUAUUGCACAAUGGGCGCAAGCCUGAUGCAGCCAUGCCGCGUGUAUGAAGAAGGCCUUCGGGUUGUAAAGUACUUUCAGCGGGGAGGAAGGGAGUAAAGUUAAUACCUUUGCUCAUUGACGUUACCCGCAGAAGAAGCACCGGCUAACUCCGUGCCAGCAGCCGCGGUAAUACGGAGGGUGCAAGCGUUAAUCGGAAUUACUGGGCGUAAAGCGCACGCAGGCGGUUUGUUAAGUCAGAUGUGAAAUCCCCGGGCUCAACCUGGGAACUGCAUCUGAUACUGGCAAGCUUGAGUCUC